rnacentral:pre_miRNA from 1 species
UCACCUCCGCAGGCUGCGGGCUCCCAGGCUGGGCUGGGCGAGUGUCUCUUCAAAAGACUCACCCUUGAGCACGAUUAGGGGC